AAUUUAAGCAUAUCACUAAGCGGAGGAAAAGAAACUAACAAGGAUUCCCUUAGUAACGGCGAGUGAACAGGGAUUAGCCCAGCACCGAAGCCUGUGGCCAUUUGGUUACUAGGCAAUGUGGUGUUCAGGUCAUUCCGCAGAGACGCUGCUCCACUCUAAGUCCAUCAAUGAGUACGGUAGUACAGACUUGGCCCACAGAGGGUGAAAGGCCCGUGAGAGUGGAGAAUCAGGCAGGUCAGUGUCUCUCUGGAUAGACCUUGGAGUCGGGUUGUUUGUGAAUGCAGCCCAAAGUGGUGGUAAACUCCAUCCAAGGCUAAAUACAAGCACGAGUCCGAUAGCGAACAAGUACCGUGAGGGAAAGUUGAAAAGUACUUUGAAGAGAGAGUAAACAGUGCGUGAAACCGCUCAGAGGUAAACGGGUGGAGUUGAACUGCAAGCCCUGAGAAUUCAGCUGGUGGGCGUGGUUUGAGCUUGGUCAAAUGGGUUGUACACUGGGGUCUGCGUAGUAGCAGGUCUCUGCCUUCGGGUGGGGAUGCGCGAGGCACUUAUCAGGUGUUGCGCGCUUCAGUUGUAUUCGGGCCUGCUCGCCAGUGCAUUUUCUCUGGGUGUUCACCACGACCGGCGCUGCUGUCUGGCUGUCAUGGUUAAACCGGUCUUGCUUUGUCCUUGUGGCUUUGCUUGGUCGGGAUGGCAGGUAGCUUGUUGACUCGUCUGGGGCAACUUGGACAAUGGGUCUUCAGGUGUAAUCAGCUGACUGUGAUGGUUCUGUGCAGUGUGUCGGAGACGGCGGCUUGUGGUAUGAACGCGCGUGCCUUGUCUGCUGGCUUGUUUGGGUUUGGUUGCUAUGUUGCUUGUUUCUGCAAGCCUAGCGAUAGCCUGGGCCUGUUGGCGGAUGGUUAUGUGCGGGAUGCUUUUCAGGGCCAAUAGUCUGUGGUGUAGUGGUAGACUUUCCACCCGACCCGUCUUGAAACACGGACCAAGGAGAGUAACAUGUGUGCGAGUCAUUGGGCGUAACGAAACCCACAGGCGCAGUGAAAGUAAAGGUCUGGCUUGUCCGGACUGAGGUGAGAUCUUGUCGUGUCUUACGCGCGGUACCACCAAGCAUUGAACGGCGAGCGCAUCACCGGCCCGUCCCAUGGCGUAGUCACAUAGGCUUUGUCCGAGUGCACCGCCGGGGCGGAGCAUGAGCAUACAUGUUGAGACCCGAAAGAUGGUGAACUAUGCUUGCGCAGGUUGAAGCCAGAGGAAACUCUGGUGGAGGACCGUAGCGAUUCUGACGUGCAAAUCGAUCGUCAAA
rnacentral:rRNA from 1 species